AUGUGGCCAUGAAACAGAUGGUCAUAGAAUUGGUUCAGUGGUUGUGAGUGCAGCAACCCAAGAGUGUCUUAUCUGAAAUACCACCAGGAAUGCCUGGACACAGUAGACAAAGGUUGUUCAACUGGACGCCUUAGGAUACAUGCUUCCAAAAACAAAGUAGCUGAAAAGAAACUAGAAUAACAGGAUAUCAGAGCCAGAGGAGCAUUUGGAGAAGUACGGGAAGGAUGAAAUUACUUUUGAUGGAGAGAGCAUUUAGUGUCUCAGAGAGAAGACAGGACAUCAUUCAUCACUUUCAUGAUGGGGCCGGCAGAUACCACCAUGGUGACGUUUGUGGCAGAAGAGGUGGAGCCAGGGACUGGGGAGAAGAAACGCAAACACAUGAUGGGUUAAAAACUGGUGAAAUCGAAUAGGUUUAAUCAGGACUGAGGAAGAACAUGGCAAGAUAAGUUUAUGGUCAGGGUUGGUUGGUGAUCCUCAGUGUUGCUGCGCAGUAGAAGGUUUUGUGAGCCUGGAACUUGGGAGACUGUUCGGUAGCCCAGGUCUCCUAAGAGUGGGUGCAGUGGCUGUGACCCUGGGCUGCUCAGCAUUCAUGUGGAAAUGAAGGAAGGAGGACUGGAUCAAUCCCAUUUGAAAGCAUCCUUCUCUGCAGCCCACACAAUCCUCCAAUGACACUGACAGAGGUGUACCCUCCUAGUGUACUGGGACCAAAAUUCGGAAGUGUCUGCAAACUUGCUUUAACCGUAUGGGAAAUAACCUCUAUCACCUGGAAUUUCCUUGGGACUUUGGAAAAUACAAGAGAAGUAUGAGACUUGGGUCUUCCCUUGGCUGUGUUUAAUUCACUCUUCUAUGGAAUACCAAUGAUUCUCACUAAGACUUUUGCCUUUUUAUAACCACAAUGUAUGCUUUAUGGAGAAGAUUUUACUCUUUGCUCUACUUAGAAAGAAUAAAUAUGAGCAAUGCUUUA
rnacentral:lncRNA from 1 species